rnacentral:rRNA from 1 species
AGUGAACGCUGGCGGUAGGCCUAACACAUGCAAGCCGAACGGCAGCACAGGAGAGCUUGCUCUCUGGGUGGCGAGUGGCGGACGGGUGAGGAAUACAUCGGAAUCUACUUUUUCGUGGGGGAUAACGUAGGGAAACUUACGCUAAUACCGCAUACGACCUACGGGUGAAAGCAGGGGACCUUCGGGCCUUGCGCGAUUGAAUGAGCCGAUGUCGGAUUAGCUAGUUGGCGGGGUAAAGGCCCACCAAGGCGACGAUCCGUAGCUGGUCUGAGAGGAUGAUCAGCCACACUGGAACUGAGACACGGUCCAGACUCCUACGGGAGGCAGCAGUGGGGAAUAUUGGACAAUGGGCGCAAGCCUGAUCCAGCCAUACCGCGUGGGUGAAGAAGGCCUUCGGGUUGUAAAGCCCUUUUGUUGGGAAAGAGAUCCAGCUGGCUAAUACCCGGUUGGGAUGACGGUACCCAAAGAAUAAGCACCGGCUAACUUCGUGCCAGCCGCCGCGGUAA